rnacentral:rRNA from 1 species
UACAGAGGGGGCAAGCGUUGUUCGGAAUCACUGGGCGUAAAGGGCGCGUAGGCGGCUUGAUAAGUCGGGGGUGAAAGCCUGUGGCUCAACCACAGAAUUGCCUUCGAUACUGUCUGGCUUGAGACCGGAAGAGGUAAGUGGAACUGCGAGUGUAGAGGUGAAAUUCGUAGAUAUUCGCAAGAACACCAGUGGCGAAGGCGGCUUACUGGUCCGGUACUGACGCUGAGGUGCGAAAGCGUGGGGAGCGAACAGG